rnacentral:lncRNA from 1 species
UCUUUUUGUGCUUCUUUUAGGACUGUGCAAUAUAUGCAGUUUUUCUUCUUUAUUUUAGGAUCCAGUCCUCUGCAUACAACAAUCUCUGUACUUGUGGAUGGGAAGGAAGCUUCUGCUUUGGUAGAUAUUCUUCAGAAAAAUGCAAACUACCAUCCCAAGUGCUCUGCACAUGGACAGACCACACAUGACCUCCUGGUUUCCAGGACGGCUGCAGUGUCCCUGGAGUGGGAAGUUCUCCGUGGCAUCUGAAGAGAAGUAUCCCCAGAUGGAAAAAGAUUUUGAUCUUGAUACAUUGGGAAGAGAGGAAUACAAGGACCCCCAGGAGGACCUGGACAGUGAGGACCAGGAGGAAAGAGGUAUCAGGAGCUCAGUGGUGAAGCAGGACUUCCUUCCUGGAGGGGACAAACUGGUCCUAGAAGACCUCCAGGAACUGCAGGCUACAAAGGGCAACUGGGUCCCAGGAUGACAUGGAACUGGGAGUGGCAGCCAAGGAGAAGAUCCCGUAAGGACAAGGUUUCUGCGGCAUCCAGGUUCAGGACACCAUUGUGUCCCAGGAGCAACAGGCUGCAGAGGACAGGAGAGGUGAGGGUCUCUGGUGAGGUCCUUCUGUUCCCCCCCAUCUCUGAUCAUGAUGGGGAGCUGAC